UGCUUAAUCAAAGCUCAGUCGGUAGAGCAGGAGACUCUCCAUCUCAGAGUUAUGGGUUCGACCCCCACCUUGGGCAA